UACGUAGGUGGCAAGCGUUGUCCGGAUUUACUGGGCGUAAAGAGCGCGCAGGCGGUCGUUCAAGUCGCGUGUGAAAGUCACAGGCUCAACCUGUGAAUGCCGCUGGAAACUGUCUGGCUAGAGUCCGGAAGGGGCGAGUGGAAUUCCUGGUGUAGCGGUGAAAUGCGCAGAUAUCAGGAGGAACACCUAUGGCGAAGGCAGCUCGCUGGGACGGUACUGACGCUGAGGCGCGAAAGCGUGGGGAGCGAACAGG
rnacentral:rRNA from 1 species